GUCACUUAUUAUCUGUAUAUACAAUAGCCUAGCUUAUACAUGUAAUACAUUGGCUU
rnacentral:pre_miRNA from 1 species